rnacentral:lncRNA from 1 species
GAAAUGGAAAAUUUUGUCCAGAGUUCAUGGGAAGAUGGUAUUGUGGUGCUUUCUCUGGGGUCACUGUUUCAAAAUGUUACAGAGGAAAAGGUUAAUAUCAUUGCUUCAGCCCUUGCCCAGAUCCCACAGAAGGUGUUAUGGAGGUACAAAGGAAAAAAAACCAUCCACAUUAGGAACCAGCACUAAGCUGUAUGAUUGGAUACCCCAGACUGACCUUCUUGGUCACCCCAAACCAAAGCUUUUAUCACUCAUGGUGGAAUGAAUGGGAUCUAUGAAGCUAUUUACCAUGACGUCCCUAUGGUGGGAGUUCCCAUAUUUGGUGAUCAGCUUGAUAACAUAGCUCACAGGAAGGCCAAAGGAGCAGCUGUAGAAAUUAACUUCAAAACUAUCACAAGCGAAGAUUUACUCAGUGUUUGAGAACAGCCAUUAACAAUUCCUCUUACAAGGAGGAUGCUAUGAGAUUAUCAAGAAUUCACCAUGAUCAACCCAUAAAGACCCUGGAUAGAGCAGUCUCCUGGAUUGAGUUUGUCAUGUGCCACAAAGGAGCCAAGCACCUGCGAUCAGCUGCCAACGACCUCACCUGGUUCCAGCACUACUCUAUAGACAUGAUUGGGUUCCCACGUGCCUGGGUGGCAACUGCUAUAUUCUUGGUCUCAUGAUGUUGUUUAUUUUCCUCUCAAAAAUUUAAUAAAACUAGAAAGAUAGAAAAGAGGG